CCUGGCCGUGGGGUCAGCUGCACAGGCCAGGAGCUCGAGGGUGGUGGCUGGCAGAAAGUGCAGUCCAAAGUACUCUGUUUUGUUUUGAUUGUGUUUUAAAAUGGGACAAAUAACAGCAUGUGUGUUUGCUGAUGGGGAGAAUCCAGGAGAAAAACAGUGAAGUUGAGGUGAGCCUCACAGGGUCAGGGGGAAGACAGGGGAUCCCGAAGAUAACGUCUGCUACGAACUCAAUUGCAUCCGCCCCGGGCCCUAAGUUGAAGCCCUAAUCCCCACGUUGACUGCAUUUGGAGAAGGACCUUCAGCACAUGAUGGAGGGACCGAGAUGCCCAAAUCCUGGCCCUCCUGCUGGACUUUCAUUUUAAAGAACAAUAAAAUUAAUGUUAACUUCUAGCAGCUUCCAAGCUCUGUGGCCCCGGAGAGGGUCAGCGAGGGGCCUCCACUGUCUGAGUCCGCUCCUGGCAACGCCUGCUCUCUGCACUCAGAGGCCCGGUCCCGGCAGCUGCCACGUUGCUCAGAAGUUCUGGCAGGGGGAGCCUGAAACCCCUGUCUGCUGGCGACACUCCCGGAGCAGCAGGAAAUCUCUACAUUUUAUUUUUUUUCUUA
rnacentral:lncRNA from 1 species